rnacentral:rRNA from 1 species
GGGUUUUUAUUUUAUACUUCAAAUCUUGAAUUUAUCUUUUAUGUUUUUGAAUGUUUGAUUUAAAAAAAUAUAAAAAAUACAAUAGAUAUUGACAUGGAUUAAACAAAGAUAUAUAUUAUUCUAUGUUGCAUAAACAAAUUGGCAAAGUAGAGAUGGAAGAUAAAAAUAUGGU